rnacentral:ncRNA from 1 species
UUAGCUGAAUUAGUGUUUGGCUUAGGUCGUUAUUUUAACGCUUUAUCUUAUUCGAUAAGGGGUUUCACACUAAGGAUUUAUUAUGUCUUUAAAUGCUACAGAAAAAGCAGCAAUCGUUGCAGAAUACGCUCAAAAAGA